UACGUAGGGCGCAAGCGUUAUCCGGAAUUACUGGGCGUAAAGAGCUCGUAGGCGGUCUGUCGCGUCCGUUGUGAAAACUCGAGGCUCAACCUCGGGCUUGCAGUGGAUACGGGCAGACUAGAGUGCGGUAGGGGAGACUGGAAUUCCUGGUGUAGCGGUGGAAUGCGCAGAUAUCAGGAGGAACACCGAUGGCGAAGGCAGGUCUCUGGGCCGCAACUGACGCUGAGGAGCGAAAGCAUGGGGAGCGAACAGG
rnacentral:rRNA from 1 species